rnacentral:lncRNA from 1 species
CAGGAGUUAUGGCCGCAGAAGCCUACUCCAACGGCCGAGGGGUUGCCGCGGUCGCUGGGUUUCCAGCGAGUGCUGGGACUCCGCGGGCGUUAGGUCUCUUCUAGCGAGCGCUGGUUCUCCGCGGGCGCUGGUUUCAUGAAAUUCAAUUCCAAAAUUAUCCCAUAAAGUCUUCGAAAAUCAAUGAAAAUCGGGGUGAAAUCCAACCACGAAUUCUUUGAAAGUCGUCUGGAAUUUUCGUUUCAUGAACUUUUCCGCUCUAGCGCGGGCUUUUGAGCUCUGGACACCAGUUUGUACCUAAGUACCCAAUUCUAAACCAAAAUCUCCAAAAUAUCACUCUUCCAUCUUUUAAAUCAAAAUCUCAUACAAAGCAUAAAACAAACCCAUAAACGCACCAAUUUCAGAAUAUUUAACUACAAAUAAAUGUAAACCCCCAAAUUAAGAACAAGCAUAAUCACAUAACAUACAAUCAGCUGCAUCUUCUUGCAGAAAUCAUUAAAUCAAGGUUUUACCUUUAAACCCCUCUUUCAAUCUCUUCCAUUGACUAAUCAUGAUUCAAACACCAUUAGGACUUUGCAAAUCAACUCACCCAGUCAUACAAGAAAAACAAAGAAAUCAAAUUUUACAUGUUGUAUUGACUGAACAAGAGGAAUAAAAGUAGAUUGCAGCUGUAAAAAUUCAAACUUGAGUCUUGGUUUUGGUUGUUGAAUGUUGAGUGUUGUUGCUGACUGUUUGAAGUCGAGGGGCAGAAAACGGGCCGCGCGGUGGUGGCGGCUCCUCGCUGCUGUCGCCGGUAGUCGGAGCAAAGAAGAGUGGGAAUCGGUGGUCUCGGGGCUAGGGCUCAGACGGCGCCUCCGUUCGAAAGCCGAGCGGUGGUAGCUGGCCGGUGGUGUGUAGGUGUGCCCUAUUUUCAGUCGGAGAAAGAGAGUCGGGGAGGCGGCUAUAGUCGUCGGGGAUUGAAGAGAAAUACAAGGGAGGUGUCUAGAUCUAGUGCUCGGCGGCGGCGGCGGCUCCGUCGUCGUUUCAUCCGGAGCAAAGGAAAGGGAGGCUUUGGGGCGUGCGGCGGUGGCUGGCUUCACUAGCUGCUGCUGCUGCUGCUCGCCGGAAUCGGAGAAAAGGGAUUCGGUGUUGGGGAUUUAGGGCUGAGAAGAGAGGGAAGUCGGAGGAGAUAAGACGAGAGGCGGCGGUGGCCGGCUCUUCGCCGCUGCUACCGUCGACUGUGGAGUCGAGAGAAAUGGGGGCGAGGGAGAUGACUGACCGGCGGUUCUUCGCCGGAGGAGACAAGAGGUGAGGAGCGAGGGUGUGUUCCUGGUGACUAGUGUGUGUGAGGAGGAGAGGGACAAAAGGGGUGGGGGAGACGCAGGUGUGAGUGAGAGGGAGUGAUAAGGGGUUAGGGCUUGGACCUUUGGGUAUUUUGGGCUUUGUUUUGGGCUGCGUUUUAUUUCAAUUGGGCUGCUCAUAUUUUAUUUUGGGCUGCGAAUUUUUAAAACAAAAACAUGGGCUUCCACUUAAUUGUUAGACUUCUUAAAUUGAUUUAUUAAUUUGACUCUUUAAUUUGAGUUUAAUUAAUUAUUGUUAGAAAAAAAUUUGCAUAAUAGUAUUUUUCUUAUUAUGUGCAUAUGUUAU